rnacentral:rRNA from 1 species
GCUCAGGAUGAACGCUAGCGGCAGGCCKAAUACAUGCWAGUCGAACGGGUUGUUGUAGCAAUACAACGAUCAGUGGCGCACGGGUGCGUAACGCGUAUGCAACCUACCUUAAACUGGGGGAUAGCCUUCCGAAAGGGAGAUUAAUACCGCAUAAGAUCACACGAGGGCAUCUGAGAGUGAUUAAAGAUUUAUUGGUUUAAGAUGGGCAUGCGUGCCAUUAGCUAGUUGGUAGGGUAACGGCCUACCAAGGCUACGAUGGCUAGGGGUUCUGAGAGGAUGAUCCCCCACACUGGUACUGAGAUACGGACCAGACUCCUACGGGAGGCAGCAGUAGGGAAUAUUGGGCAAUGGACGGAAGUCUGACCCAGCCAUGCCGCGUGCAGGAAGAAGGCCUUCUGGGUUGUAAACUGCUUUUAUCUAGGAAGAAAACGCCCAUGCGUGGGAAACUGACGGUACUAGAUGAAUAAGCACCGGCUAACUCCGUGCCAGCAGCCGCGGUAAUACGGAGGGUGCA